UUCCUGUCUGCCUACUGUCGCAAAAACUCUUCGGAGAAAAAAGUGAAAAAAACGAUUGAUAGGUAUUGUAUUCAGAUAAAGAUAAGCCUCCAUUCCUGUGAUGUCAACAGUGAUGGCAUGGUUACUUUGAAAAUUUAACUUUAAUCGGAUUACUGAUUACUCCUUGAAAAAGUAACUUAGAUUACUGACUACUUGAUUUGGAAAGUAACUAAGUUACUUAAAAGUAACUUUUUUUAGUUACUUUCAGCAGCUGCUAACAACAACGCUCCGCCACCUGCGAAAAUUACAUCGAUCUUUGCCAAAACUUAAUUGCAAGUUAUUUUAUAAUGGUGACAUCAACAAUGUGUCUCCAUUUAUAAGGUUGAACUGGAGGAAGAGGAGGAAAAACAACGGGACUAUUGUAACAGCAUAGAGACGUCGGUCACUCGACAAAACACGUAGAGGAAAUACAAUUAAAUUCCAAAAGAAGAUAGUAACACACAGUGACGCAAAGUGAUUUUGAUAAAUAACUGUAGUCUAGUGCAUAUCAUGCUAGUAUCAGUUAGCAUGCAUGCAAGAGCAUUUCUGUUUAUUGUGUAUAAAAUUCUUGAUAAGAUUGGGCUUUUUUUGCAUUAUUUUAGUGCGUUAUUUAAUUGUAGGUCCUUUCCAACAAGUUCUGUGAUUUACAGUAUUUUAAAACAUUUGUUAAAAUGCCUCUGGUGGGCCCUUUUAAGCUGUACUCUGAAAAACCGACAAGUUUUAGUGUCUUAAGUUAAAAUCAACCUUGGUUACACGCAUUAGUUUGAUAACUUUGUGUCUAAAAUCUACAGGGAGCUCGCUGGUUUUCGUUUUGCACUUUUUUUUAGGAACCGAAACGUUUAGCUGGCAAAGUGAGAUCCAUUUGCAUGACAGGAUUACGAUUUCCCAUCACACCAUUACAUUACAGCAACCAGUGAACAAUUAAUCAUGGCUCCCGCCAGCAGCAAAUAACGUCAUUGCUUUAUAUUUUCUACCAUUCCACCGCAGGUUUAUUUAACAUAAUUUAGUCUGUAUCUCAACCUUAAUACAGGUACUUAUGGCAAUGUGCCAUGUUGAAGCAUUUGGAUUAUAAAUCUCUUGAUGUAUCACUCUGUCUCAAGCAAAUGACAAAUGUUUACUGCGAACACACCGGGCCUCUCUCCAUCAACGUUACGGGUACGUCCGAAUGAAGCAUAAAAUUGACCUGUCUGAGACACCAUAAGUCAUGCAUUUAAGAACCUCUACGUCAACAGAUGAAGCCAUCAAUGUGAUGAGUCCCAUAUCAGAAACACAUGAAACUACAUGCAAGAGGUACACAUUUUGUAGCAGCGUUAUCGGGUUAGCAUGCAGUCGAAAACAAGAGGAGCACCUAAACUAUGAUCAUCCCAGUCUGAUUAAUGUCUUCUGUCAACAUUAGCAUAUUAGCAGCUAACAGUAGGUUCCAGAUGUUUUGGUCUUAGCUACUGGGUGUGUUUUAUUUCUCUUUUACCUCAAAUAACACAGCCACCAUGAUCAGAGACAAAAAUAAAAAGAGAAGGCAAGUUAUUAAUAGUCUAGCUGAUGGUCCACCGUUAGCUGCUUCCCGAAUAUUUCAGAUAUGACGGAUUUUCUUUAGAUUAGUAGAUUUUGCUCUGCUAGAUGAUAAUUAACACGUUUAGCAGAAGUGUGUGUGGAAUCUGACCAGGAAACAAGAGGUGUGAAUGAAAUACAUUUGGCUAAAUCAGGACAAAAUUUUAAAUUGUUCAUCUUACUGAUGCAGUCUCCUACUAUUUUCCACUAUUUGCAUCCUAAUUUUGCUCUAAAUGGAUGGUACCCCUAUAGCAGUGAUUCUAUAUUUAGUCUGUAUUUUUUUCCCUUUGUGGAUAGAGUUAAUGGUGGUGCUUUCGCAGUUGGUAUAGAUUUCAUUGGAUGAAAAUAGACUCUCUUUAAUUACAUAUCACUAGAACCUAUUUGUCUUGUCUGUCCUGAGAGGUUUUUAAUUGUAACAUUUUUGCAAAGAAGUUGGCAGGUGGAUUUUAUUUACAAAAUUCUGUCCACCUCUUCCCAAAACGUCCCGUAGGCGCCCCACCGAAAUGUGAAUGGAUGCAUUAUGUAGAUAAUUUUUGUUUUAAAUUGCCUCUUCCUGUUCUCAUUCUUUCUCCUUUCCAAUUAAAUUGCAAACUUCAGUCCAGUGUCUGUUCUCACAGGUAUUCACAGCAGCCUCCUUCCUCAUGGCUCAGUGAUCCCCUCCUCCUCCUCCUCCUCCUCCUCCUCCUCCUCACCACCACCAUCAUCAUCACCGUUAUUCAUCCCUCCACCACAUCCCCUUUCUCUUACAUCCCAGUCUCCCCAGGUUCUCUUCCAGGAAGCGGCCAGUCGGAUGCUCUGCUGGAAUGCCUGGGAGAGAGAGCAUCCUCACUGUCUGUUACUGAAAGAGAGAGAGAAAACGGGAGGGAGAGAAAGAGAGAGAGAGAGAGAGGUCCAGCGGGAAAGAGGUGGAGGAGAGGAAGCGUGGUGGCGGUAGGAGAGAGGAGCAGACAUGGCUUCUAAAGAGAUCUCAGCCUUUGGUUUCGUCAGUGUGACCAAGGAUAUGACAGAGAGCAUCCGGAAGAUUAUCGAUAAAUCAUCCAUCAAGUUCAUUUGUAGCAUUAAGCUUGACACCAAAAACGGUAAAACAGAGGACAGGAUUCUGGUCCUCGCAACAUGGCGUCUCUAUUUCCUGGCUCCAAAGAUUCCGGCUAAGACAGAAACCACAUUCAACUUCUUGGAGAUUCGAGCUUUGAAUUCUCACCCUGAUCACCAGGUUAUUAUCGACACAGACAAGUCCGGUUACACCCUGAGGUUCGAGUCCCGCGAACACCUCAAUCAUGUGGUCAGCCAUAUUAAUUUCACCCUGUCCCGAAUAUUCAACAAUUCCAUCUUUGCCCCGUCCAUCUGUCACUCAGACAGCGACCUUUCGGAGGGCAGCAGGAAGUAUUCGCCCAGCUCGGAGACUUCAGUGGAAACCCAGAGGGCCUGUGGAGGCUUUUCAGAGACCUACGCUGCUCUGUGCGACUAUAAUGGCAUCAGCUGCAAGGAGGAAGUGCAGUGGGAUGUGGACACUAUCUAUCACUCCCAGGACAGCCGAGAGUUUAACCUGCUGGACUUCAGCCACUUGGAGAGCAGGGAUUUGGCGGUGAUUGUUGCGUCAAUGGCAUAUAACACCUGGUUCACUAAACUGUACUGCAGAGACCUUCGCAUAGGGUCAGAGGUCACUGAGCAGGUCCUGCACACGGUCAGCAAAUCUUCCAGCCUUGAGGAGAUCACUCUGGAGAACGCCGGGCUGAAAUCAGACUUCCCUCAAAAGAUGGCCACUGCUCUUUCAGAGAACCCGGCUUCUGUCAUCCACUCCGUUAAUUUGGCCCACAACUCACUGGACAACCAAGGUGUGUCCAGCUUAAUCCAGCAGGUGAGUCGCCUUAGCAAGGGACUUCGUCUCCUCAAUCUGUCCAAGACUUCACUUACGUCAAAGGGCGUCGUGUCUCUCUCUCAGGCUCUGUGCUCCAGCGAUGAAUACUCCAACUCCCUCCUGCACCUGGACCUGAGCAAGAACCCCGGGGUCCUCUCAGGGGAGGACGCCUCGAACUUUUAUCUCUUCUUGUCUCAGCCAAACUGCCUGGUCCACUUGGAUCUGUCGGCCACCGACUGCUCCGUCGACUCUCUAUUUGGGGCUCUUCUGAGGGGGUGUUGCGCUGAUCUUUCCUUUCUCAAUCUGUCCAAAAAUACCUUCUCGCACAGGAAAGUGAAGGAUACGCUGCCGUUGUUCCGUCAGUUCUUCAGCUCGGCCUUCAGCCUCUCUCAUGUCAGCUUCGCGUCUAUGAAGCUGCCCCCUGACGUUCUGAGAGCAGUGCUGUCGGGGCUGACCACCAAUCCUCACAUCACCGAUCUUCAUCUGGACAUCAGCGGCUGUGAGCUGAGGUCUGCGGGAGCCGCCGUAAUCCAGGAGCUCUUCCCGCGGGUCUCCUCUGUCGCCACGCUGGACAUCUCCGACAACGGUCUCGAUGCAGACUUGAUCACAGUGCUGCCUGCCCUUUCAAGACACCCUUCCCUAAAACACCUACAUCUGGGCAAGAAUUUCAACAUCAAAAACAGGGUUCUGGACGAAGUCUUGCAGAAGCUGGUCUCACUCAUGCAGGAGGAGGAAUGCGCUCUGCAGUCCCUGUCCCUGGUGGACUCGCGCUUGCGCUCCCGGGGGACCGUGCUGGUCAACGCGUUGGGCAGCAACACCUGCCUGAGAAAAGUGGACCUCAGCGGAAACAACAUGGACGACAUCGGGGCCAAGAUGCUCAGCAAAGCCCUGCAGAUCAACACGACGCUCAGGAGUGUGACAUGGGAUCGCAACAACACCUCCGCUGCAGGAUUUCUCGAUGUGGCCCGAGCCUUGGAACAUAAUUUCACCUUGCAGUACAUGCCUCUGCCCCUAAGUGACAUCAGCCAGGCGUACCGCAGCGCUCCGGAGAAGACGGAGCAGGCCCUCACUAAGAUCCAGCGCGCUCUGGUCAGGAACAACCAGACGCAGCGCUUCUCCCAGAGGCAGGCUCUGCGGCUGCACCAGGGCUUGGUCACCAGCACCGCCGAGCAGGUGAUGGAGCGCCUCUGCGUGCGCGUCCAGCAGCAGCUCUGCUUGUUGCGAGGCGCCGGAGAGAUGGAGGAGAUUCAAGCCGCCAAGCAAGUCCUGAAAGAGGCCAGGAACUCUCGAGCUCUCUACCCGUCGCUGUGCGAGCUGGCCCACGUGCUGUCUGUGGACGGGCCCGUGCGGCAGAGAUUGGACUCCCUGGCCGGCGAACUCGCCAAAGCCGCCGAUAAGGAGCUGCAGGUGAUCGUCGACUCCAUGGUGUCACUUUGCCGCGAGCUCUGUCCUUUAUCGUCGUCUGCGGCAGAGAGAUUAAGCCCUCCGCUCUCGUCCGUCUCCGAGCGGGUGUCCAUCCCUCGCUCCGCCAUCCGCACCGCCCUCAUGGAAAGAGCGGCGCAGGACAUCCACAGGGCUUUGGAAGAAGUGAAGCUGUCCGUGGUUUCCUACCUCACCAACUCCAUCGUGGACCAAAUCCUGCAGGAGCUCUACGCCACCCACAAGACUCUGACCCGGCAGGUGUCUCAUCUAAAAUGCUGGGAAGGGACGUGUGAAGAUGGGACUGCGUGGAGUUUUAACAGACACAGAGACUCCCUGGACAUCACAGAUGAAGAGCUCGGCACCAGCAUAGACACGAUUGCCAUUAAGAAGCGCAGCUCCAGAACGAGGAGAAUACGACCCGUCUCCACCAGGCUGAGCUUGUGUGACGACUCCAGCUCCUCUCCGCCUCCCUCUGGGCCGUCGUUCUCCUCGCCACUGUCCCACUCGGCGUCCUGGGAAGGCCUGUCGGAGCUGCCCACGCAGGGUCUGCCGCUGCACCACGUGACGCGCGUUCGGCCGAGGCCUCCCCGGAGGCACAGGGGAGGACACGUCACCGCGGAAACACACUGCAGUGAAAAUGGAGGAAUAAGCCCUCUGGAUGACGGACUCCCAGAUUUCUAUACAAAACGAGUUUUACCUGACAGUCAGCUUUCCUCCCUGCAUAAAGCGCACUCUCUGAGGAGGAAGAAGAGGAGGAACAUGCUGGCCAUCUUUGGCUUCCGUAAGAACCGCAGCCAGACCCUGUCCAAUCAGGAGUCGGAGGUGGAGGUCUACGGAGAUGGGUGUCACACGGUUGCUACGGCGCCCACGGGGACAGCAAUGGAGAAUGUAUACACACUCCUCCAAGCUCCGCGGCCAGCCGCCAAGUCUCCCUGCGACGGGGCCGACGGCAAAAUGAAUGAUCAACAGGGAAAAGGCGCUCUUAUCCUGAGUCCGCCACCGGUGCCGGGGAUCCCUCACCCAGGAGGAAAACACCCCUUCUACUCUCCCCGAGAGAUCUCGGAAAUGGACGCCGUGUUCGAGAAGCCAGUGGAGACGGAUAAGUACUGGGUGGACGACAAACAGCGGACAGAAGUGCUGGAGGCGGAGGCGGACUGGAUGAUCGAGAGCCGGCGGGGCGAGACGGCGGCAGAGAGGCAGCGCUUCGACGAGAGCACCCCCGGAGAGCUGAGGACGUCCGACAGACAGAGCGACAGGUACUGGGCCGAGAGCAGGCCCGUGGAGAGGCAGUGGACCGUAGAUAGGCACACGCAGCGCCAGAUCGACAGGAAGAUAGAGAGGCAGUGGAUGGGCGGCAGGCAGAUUGAAAGGUCGUGGUCUGAGAGCAGACCCGUGGACUUACAGGUGGACAGUCAGUGGACGGGGCGAAAGCAGGACAGACAAGUCCAGGGGCUUCAUUUGGCUCAAAGGCCGCUGCCUCCGUACCCGUCGGAAAGGACGCCGUCGCCCAAACAGGAGGGGGGCGACGUGUUGAAGAGCAGCGCGGAGGCAGCAGCCAUAGAGUGGCAUCCCCAGGACCCGCAGGGAGACGGAGGGGGUCCUGCAGAUGGGUGGAGGAGCGGCGGAGAGGCAGGGGGAGGCCGGAAACCAGAACCCCCACCGCAGAGCAGCAAACCCAACGUGACCCGACUGCGGCCCAGACACAGGAGGGAGAGUUCAGACGCCCUGCCAGAGGAGGAAGGCGAUGAAGAGAGGGAUGCUGGGAAGACGGAGAGGAGAGAGAGAAGACGAGAUUCCGAGGGUCAGCCUCCUCCCAUUCCCGAAAAGCCAAAGACCUCCUCCUACGUGACCUUUUCUAAAGAAUCGGCUCAUGAAAGGAACUUACCUCCUCCUCCGGUGCCGCCUCCCGCCAUCAAGCCGAUCCAUGGGCUCCCAGACAGAGCAGCGAGUCAAGGCGCGCAUAAGGAGGACGGCGCUUUGACUGCAGCUGUUUGAAUGUGUUGCUCAGGCGACGAAGGACUGAGACCUCAGGCUCCUGCGAAGCCGCAGAGGAACAGAAAGGCAAUGUCCUGUGAUGCAGGUACAACGUCGUUCUCUGGUUUUAUUCAUCAAACAUAACAGAGCUGUGAUCGUCCCUCACCUUCAAAAAUAUGACGUUUAAGUUUUCCUCAUGUUAAAAAUUUUUAAAGUUUGCUGAGUUUUUUUUGUUCUGUUUGUUUCUUUAGAACAUUACACCAUCACCCCGUUUUGUAAAUUAGAAGACCGUUUCCAUUUGUCUGUGAACUUUUUAAGCAAGCUAAAACCCAUAGAAAGCAACCGCAUUUAUGUUUUUUUACAGCUAAAGUUACAUUUGAAUGCAGGUGCGCUCACCUGAAACUGUCCUUGAACCCUCUUUUGUAACCUAAUGCAGUUUGAAGGGCCUUUUCUUUGCUCCUUUUCUUUCUCAGAACCCAAAAAGCAGCCAGCCCUUUUGGAGAUGAGGUGGUGCAUGUCUCAGUGUGUUGUUGCCGUUUGUGUAAAGUGUGUUUCUCUAACUGUUGACUUGUCUCCUGUCCCUCACUGAUCUCAGGCUCUGAAAGGGAAAGCCCCAAUAACAUUGAGAAGCCCCCAAAUCGCAAACCCCCCGUGAAAAAACCUAGACUACCACAAAACAGAAACAAGUCUCUGGACUUGUCUGACAGCUUCAACGCCGCACCGGGUCACAGCGAGCUGGUGU